GACGUAGGGCGCGAGCGUUGUCCGGAUUUAUUGGGCGUACAGAGCUCGUAGGCGGUGUGUCGCGUCGGUCGUGAAAACUUGGGGCUUAACCCUGAGCUUGCGGUCGAUACGGGCAUCACUGGAGUUCGGCAGGGGAGACUGGAAUUCCUGGUGUAGCGGUGAAAUGCGCAGAUAUCAGGAGGAACACCGGUGGCGAAGGCGGGUCUCUGGGCCGAUACUGGCGCUGAGGAGCGAAAGCGUGGGGAGCGAACAGG
rnacentral:rRNA from 1 species